rnacentral:misc_RNA from 1 species
GUGAGUCAUCGAAUCUUUGAACGCACAUUGCGCCCCUUGGUAUUCCAUGGGGCAUGCCUGUUCGAGCGUCAUUUUGUACCCUCAAGCACUGCUUGGUGUUGGGCGUUUGUCCUGCAAAGGACUCGCCUGAAAGCGAUUGGCGGCCAACGUACUGGUGGUAGAGCGCAGCACAAUUCGCGUCUCUCCCUUCUACGAUGGCGACCAUGAAGCCUUAUUCAAACGUUUGACCUCGGAUCAGGUAGGGAUACCCGCUGAACUUAAGCAUAUCAAUAAGCGGAGGA